GCUUCCAUGUCUUAGGCCUUAUCUCAUCUUGUUAAGAAAUGGGACCACUUCCAAGACAAGAAAUUGCCAAUUACCCCCACACUCAUGUCUUUUAGUGGCUGCUAAUAACAAAGGUGGUGACCUAGCCUGAUGAUGCACCAUCAAUAACCCUCGGAGACAUGAGUCGAGAUAGGCUUUUAUUAGCUGGAAGAAAGCACAGUCAGCAGCGUCAGCAGCAAGAGACCACCACACAACAUCCUGGAGACUGAGGGAGGAGCAGUGCCUCCAUCACCUUUAGACAGGGGUCUGUGGGAGGAGCCACAGGAGCAGUCAGCGGGGUGGGGGGGGCACGUGUCCAGACAGGUAAAUGUAGUUCACCACACCUGAAUUCCUAGAUUCUAAUUCUGUGCUCCUCAUUCUCCACCUACCUACCUUUCCCCCUCACAUCGCUUCACCUAUCGCCUUCUAGCUUAUACUCUUUUCUCCACCACCACCUUCUUAUUCUGGCUUCUAAUCCCUUCCUUUCCAGCUCUCUGUCCGAAACAUCAAUUCUUUAUUGCACUCCAUAGAUGCUGCCUGGCCUACUGAGUUCCUCUAGCAAUCCGUGUGUUAAGCCUUGGAGAUGUGUCUGAGUUGGGCAGCUCCAGCAGCAAGUGCAACAAAGCCCUGAGGCCUGACUUUCAAUCAGCCAGAACAGGUUUCAAAUAUCAAAGCAGUCAAUGCCAGUUUGAACAAAAGAAAUGUGCCGGAAUUUCAUUUCACGUCUCAAAUAGAACACAAUAGUACAGAAUGCCACCAGGGAAUUAUUUUAAGAAAAGAGGACAUCAGACUAUUCUUAACAGUAAAUAAGUGACAUAAAUUCCAGACAAGAAAUCAUCUCUGAUCAUCUACAAAGCCAGAGAGAAAGCAAAUACUUGAUCUUGGUGGACGGCAGAAGAAGGUGAAGCAGAAGUCAUGUGACCAAAGAGGUGGACGCAGCCUUGUCCAUCACAGGCAAAGCCCUCCCCACUGACACAAGAAAGCAGUGUCCAUCCUCAAGGACUCCACCGUUCAGGCCAUGCUGCUGCCAUCAAGAAGAAGCUACUGAAGCCUCAAGUCCCACACCACCAGGUUCAGAAAUUCAGCGUGGAUAACUUCACUCACUUCAACAUUAAGGUGCUCACAACACAGUAUGUGGACUCAUUUUCAAGGACUCUGCAACUCAUGUUCUCAGUAUUGUGCAUUCACAGUGGAACAAAGAAAUGCAAUAGAAUCAGUGAAAAACCACACGCAGUCAAGACUGACAAACAAUAUACAAAAGAAGAUGAAGAAGAAGAAAGAGAGGAAUAAGAUCUUCACUGUUUGUCAGGGCCUCCUGCAAUCUUGCAAUAUGUUUGAGGAACAGGACUUCAUCUUUUGUCUGAGCAUAUCGCAGUUUCUGAAUUCAAAACUGAGCUCUCCAUCUUUAGGGAACAAUUUUUCCAUCUGGCCAUUUCUAACUACCAGCAUUUUGGCUCUUUCUGGUUGUAUGUUUGCCAGUGGGACAUGACCACAGCCUCACCAUUAGCAAAGCACAACUCAACAAUGAAACAUGAUCAUAACUAACUGCAACCUUGAGUCAUUUGGUCUCACCCCCCCAGGGACACUGCCUCUGCUGUGGUGUGUUGGUGUGACAUGCAAUGAAAAAUAGCAAUCAACAAUUAGAAAGAAUAAAGAAUUAUAUAAAAAUAAAGUUAGAAGUAGAGAUAUGGAAUAAAAUGUGUAUCAAUACAUAAAUACCAGCAUGUAUUUACAAUGUAAACAGCAUUAUAAAAAAUGGUUUAAAGUGUGAUGCACCAUCAAUAACUCUCCGAGACGUGAGGCGAGAUAUAGGCUUUUAUUGACUGGAAGAAAGAACAAGCAGCAAUUGACCACCAUGCUACAUCCUGGAGACUGAGAGCAGGGCUCAGGCCUCAAUCGCCUUUAUACCGGGGUCUGUGGGAGGAGCCACAGUCAGUGGGAGGAGCCACAGAAGCAGGGGGAGGGGUGCACAUAUCCAGACAGGUAUAUGUAGUUCACCACAAAGUGUUUGCGGUGCAGUGCGUGCCUGAGGUAAUAGAUAGAGGGGAAUGGGAGGAAGAGCUAACUAAAAUGGUUAAUCAGAUUAACUACCUGGGGAAGAAGCAUUUAAGGUGGCGUGAAGAUUUUGUUUUAAUAGCGCUACAGUGCUUUCCAGAAGAGGACUUUUGGGAAAGGCAACUUGCUGGGUGGAUGGUGUCAGCAAUUAUUAUUAUUCAGCGCUGGUGUGGCCUCACUUAGAGUAUUGUGAGCAGUUCUGUGCCGCUUAUCGUAGAACCUCAAAGGAGGUUCAUGAAAAUGAAUCCAGGUUUGAAUGGCUUGUCGUAUGAAGAGUGUUUGAUGGGUCUGGGCCGGUAUUUUUACUGGAAUUCAGAAGAAUGUGGGGUGACCUUAUUGAAACCUACCAAAUGGUGAAAGGUAAUGCUAGAGUGAAUGUGGAGAGGAUGUUUCCCAUGGUGGGAGAUUCUAGCACUAAAGGAAACAGAAUAGAGGGGUGCUCUUUUAGAAUGGAGAUGAGGAAGAAUUUCUUUUGCCAGCAAGUGGUGAAUCUCUAGAAUUGUUUGCCACAGGCAGCUGUGGAGGUCAAGUCUUUAUGUAAUAUUUAAGGCAGAGAUUGACAGGUUCUUGUUUGGUCAGGGCAUGAAGGUAAAAGGGGAGAACACAGGAGAUUGGGGCUGAGGGGAAGAGUGGAUCAGCCAUGAUGAAAUGUCGGAGUGGACUCGAUGGGCCUAAUCCUGCUCCUAUGUCUUAUUAUAACAUUAUUAGGAUGUGGACGAGAGAUGAAGUGUGUGAAGAAAUGUAAUGCGUCAGGUGGUUGCUAAGGAGGCAAAGUUUCUUGUUGAGACCCUGUGUCCGAGUGUGGAUAAAACAAUUAAGUCUGAGCCGCAACCUCACCGGACACCACAGCUCAGCAGCAUGUUGACAGGAAGAGAUGAACGUGAUGGGCAUGCUAUCUUUGUGCCAGAUUGAGUGGCCACACUUCUGGGCUUUCUCCAGCACAUCCUUAGGUCACAUUGGUUGUUAACACAAACAACCCGCACCACUGUAUGUGGUAAAUGAAACUGAGUCUAAAUGUAAAGGGAAGGUAGGCCAUGAGACAGAGGCUGGUGGGUGAAAAAUGGAACCAGAUGAGGGAAGGAUGUUGGGCAGUUGGCCAGGUGGGAAGGGGGAUUGUUGAGAUUGAUGUUGGUGGCUGGUAGCUGGGAACGUAAGGAAAGAUUUCCAGUACCUGCAGAAUCAAAAUGAGUGGUUGUCUGAGGACUCAAUUGGGCCUGUGGAAAGGUGGAUGUUGAGAGAUGAGGGAAUGACUGGUCUUUCUCUGGAAAUCAGGACCAGGUGUGUAUUCUGUGGAAGAAGUGUGUGAUCAGAGACCAAGAGAUCAGGCAGUGGGUGCAGGAUUGCUACACAGGAGGGCGGGGAUUACAGAUCGAUAGUUGGGG